rnacentral:snRNA from 1 species
GUCACUUCUGGGCCUUUUAGCUAAGAUCAAGUGUAGUAUCUGUUCUUAUCAGUUUAAUAUCUGAUACAUCCUCUAUCUGAGGACAAUAUAUUAAAUGGAUUUUUGGAACAGGGAGAUGGAAUAGGAGCUUGCUCUGUCCACUCCACACAUUGACCUGGUAUUGCAGUUACCUCCAGAAGCAUUGCACCAAAA